rnacentral:rRNA from 1 species
AUACGUAGGUGGCAAGCGUUGUCCGGAUUUACUGGGUGUAAAGGGCGCGUAGGCGGGAUUGCAAGUCAGAUGUGAAAAUUAUGGGCUCAACCCAUAACCUGCAUUUGAAACUGCAGUUCUUGAGUAUCGGAGAGGCAGGCGGAAUUCCUAGUGUAGCGGUGAAAUGCGUAGAUAUUAGGAGGAACACCAGUGGCGAAGGCGACUUACUGGACUGUAACUGACGCUGAGUCACGAAAGCGUGGGUAGC